CGCACGGGUGAGUAACACGUAUCCAACCUGCCGUCUACUCUUGGACAGCCUUCUGAAAGGAAGAUUAAUACAAGAUGGCAUCAUGAGUCCGCAUGUUCACAUGAUUAAAGGUAUUCCGGUAGACGAUGGGCAUGCGUUCCAUUAGGCAGUUGGCGGGGUAACGGCCCACCAAACCGACGAUGGAUAGGGGUUCUGAGAGGAAGGUCCCCCACAUUGGUACUGAGACACGGACCAA
rnacentral:rRNA from 1 species